ensembl:lncRNA
UUUGAUCUCCCAGCAUUGCAUUUUUAAUGGACGCUCUCAACAUUACUUCAUUAAGAACUUUUUUCAGGAGCUCCGAGGGCCAAGGGGGUUGGGGGAGACUAAACAGCUAUUCGGCAAAGUCUCUCUCCAAACUUCAGCUGGGGCCUGGGAGGACCGGACUCUGGGCGGGUUUUCACAAAUGGAGAUGAGGCCGAGAGCAGCCGACUGCGACCACUCAAGAGAGGGCCUUCUGUACGCUCAGCACAGUCCUAAAGACCUUGCAUAUAUUAACUCUUAAACCUACAGCCACUCUACAAGGGGUGCACUAUUGUAACUCCCAUUUUACAAACCGCAAAACUGAGGUACACAGAGGCUGAGUACCUUGCUUGCCAAGGUCACCAACUAGAAAGUGUCAAGGCGGGAAAAAUGUCUUCAGAGAGCUCGGACUCCGAGCUCUUAACCACCAAGCCACUAACUUUCACCCUGUUGCCCACUGAUGGUGGUUUAACUGACUAGUGGGGGCAUCUUGAAGAAAAAGCUAACUCCUAUAACUAUGGAGAUGUGAAACGGCUCUUCUGGCCUUUUUGGGAAAGUAGCUAUCAGAUUCAACAAAAAGGGCUGCCUUCCAUCCUGCUUAGCCAGGCCCUGCCAGCCUUCCUGGGAAAGGAGACUUCGAAGAGCUCAAGGGAGCUAGAUAGGAAACAAGCGCUAAGGCACCAGAUCGCUUCGACGGUGCGGGCAUGUGCAGGCGCGAGUGCGUGCCAAGGGACUCUCUGGCCUCUGACUUGCAUCCGGGAAAGGGCUCCCUCGGGUCCCACGCUUCUCCAAGACUCAAACCCUGGACCGGACCGUGGUAAGGAGCAGGUCGGCCACGCCUCCGAUGAAACCACUAAGGUCUCUCCCCUUCUCCGCUCCCAGAGCAGCUGAUCUCAUCUUCAGAAGCCAGAUCGGGUUGGCCAAGCUCUGUGGUCGCCGCUCGCGUUCUAGAGGGGACAGCUCAUUGCGGGAGAAGGGCGCGGUGCGAGUGCAGGAUGUGCGAGGGACCCAUUGUUUUUGGGUCGCAAGCAGCCCACCCGUCUUCAGUACGAUAUUCUCUCCCGCAGUCUCGCCCGUGGGAGAAGGUGGGCCCGGAGGCAUCGCGUCCCCGACCCCUGAUGGAAGUGCGGAGGGCAUCCUUAUACGGCCCAGACUCCGAGUCCGCUGUAGUUAGGCUAACCUCUGACGCUGCACUGGGAGAUAGGUCAUCCCGUCCGUCGUCUCCCGUCCGUCCCCGGUCGCGGUGCGGUUCCGUGAGGAAGACGGGCAGAGAGGCCGGGCGCGAGCUGAUUAGGGGCUCCCCCACGGUCGGCGGCCUGGAGAGUGGAGACCGUGUCCGCCAGGAGGUGGGUGGGGGAAAGGAGUAGGCCGAGCUCUGCAGUGCGGUCUCGCGAGCCGGGGCCGCUAGGCCUCCAACACGGUUCCGCGCCCCUAAUGCCCCAGGGCGGUGAGGACCCCUCGGCGCCCCGCCCAUCUCUUCCUCCUUCCCGGCCCGCGCGCCCUGGGGAAGCGAUCCCGGGGGAAGUGAUCCCGGGGUCUGCAGUACCGGGGCAGGACGCGCCUUGCGCCCUGGGCCU